UCAUUAUACGUGUUGUCAGUCAGCUGUUCAUUUACAUACUGCCGUAUGAUGUUAGUUUGUGUUUGUGUUGACUUUACGAGCAGCAGCACGCGCACAAUCUAGUUGCAGAACAGAUUAAAAGAUGUACGACUGUUUGUAAAGAACUUUGCACUAUUAGGAAAGACUGAGUUAGUGUGAGUUAUUCAAACAGGAAGAGUGCAAGGCUUAAAAGCAUCACAUGCUCUCUCAAUUCUGUGAUAGAGCACAAUUUGUGAGUGUUCAUUUAAUUUUUAAUUUUUUAAUCUAUUUCUUAAAAGCUCUGGACGUAUUCUGGAUCAGGAAUGGUGGAGUGUCUCGUGGAACUUCCAGUCAUGCUUUAACUACCUGAAUAGCCAUGGAGGAGUUGGACCCAGAGGGGCAGUUCCUCAGGGAUGCCAGGAAUGGGAACUUGGAGGGUAUCCAGAGGCUUUUGAUGUCCAAGAUAAAGGAGGAAGCCAAAAUCGAUAUCAAUUGCAAGGGCAAGAGCAAAUCUAAUCAUGGAUGGACACCUCUUCAUCUGGCCUGUUAUUUUGGACACAAGGAUGUUGUUGAGGUUUUACUGAAGGCGGGAGCAGAUGCCAAUUUACCAAAUAAUGUUGGAGACACGCCCCUCCAUAAAGCAGCAUUCACUGGGAGAAAGGAGGUUGUGAUGUUGCUCCUUCAGUAUGAUGCUUGUCCUUCUGUCAUCAAUGGGACAGCACAAAUACCCAAAGACAUCACCCAGAGUGUAGAGAUCAAAAGCAUGUUGGAGGCUGCAGAAAGGACUGAGGAGAGGAAGCUAGAGGAGCAGAUGUUGGAAGCGGCUCGGGAAGGAGCCUUAUCUACCCUCACAAGACUGCUUAACAUGAAGAAACCCCCGAACAUAAACUGCACGGAUCUACUGGGCAACACGCCGCUGCAUUGUUCUGCUUACAGAGGCCAGAAACAAUGUGCCAUCAAACUCCUGCAACACAGCGCCAACCCUAACAUCAAGAAUAAAAACGAUCAGACAGUUUUUGACUUGGCUAAUGAUGCGGAAAUGAAGCAGAUCAUUGCAGGCAAUGUUAUAAAAGGAAUGACGCGCUAUGUUAAAACGGUUGAGGGACCUCUUUGGAAGAGCUCAAGGUUCUUCGGAUGGCGCUCCUACUGGGUGGUUCUUCAAGAUGGGGUCUUGUCAUGGUACCCCAAAAAGCCAGAUGCAGAAUCAAACACACGGAGGAAAGGUUGCAAACCCCUAACGCAAGCGCAGUGCAUGAUUAAAGCGAAAGAUAACUGCUAUUUCACAGUCAAAUGCUUUGAUGACAGCGUUCACAAUUUCAAAGUCUCGCAGGAAAACAACCCAGAGGCCACCAGAAAAAGAUGGCUUGAAGCAAUAGAGGAACAUUCAGCUUUCAGCACACAUUACUGCUCUCAGGACCCUGACAGCGAUGAAGAGGAGGAAAAUGUUGUGACUGUGGUCGAGCUCUCUGAUUCGCUUCAGCUCGCUGAGGCCUACCAUCAAAAGCUGGAGACAGAGGUGUUGGCCCUCCUGUCCAUGGUGAAAGAAGAUGGACUUGCGGAACGAUUCCCUGCUGCAGUUGUUCAGAAGCUACAAGAGGUGUGUGCGGCCUCAAAUGAAACCUGUUCCUCAUUGCAACAGUGUCUGGGACUUUUUUCCAAACAGGAAGGGGCACGCAGAUCAAAACUGGAGCAUGAGGUUGAGAAGAAUAAAAUCCUGUCUGAAGCUCUUCAGACUUUGGCUACAGAGCAUCAUGAGUUGGAGCAGUCAGUGGUCAAAGGAUCGUCGCCCCACAGCGCUCUCAGUGAGGACGAGUUCUACGACGCUCUGUCUGAAGAUUCAGAUUCUGAGCCUGUGGUGAGCGCUUUUGAGACGGCCGGCCACUCGUACGAGGACAGAGAAGACAUCAAGUCUGAGAUCUACUCCAGCAUCCGAAGUCAUCUCGUUGGCAGGAUGUCCCGGGAAGAGGAGGAUGAUGAGGGGGCCAGGGUGAAUGGAUUGAAGAGGCACAGGACAAGUUUGCCAGCUCCCAUGUUCUCCAGAAAUGACUUUAGUAUCUGGAGUAUACUGAGAAAGUGCAUUGGGAUGGAACUGUCUAAGAUCACCAUGCCUGUCAUUUUUAAUGAGCCGUUGAGUUUUCUGCAAAGGCUUACAGAAUACAUGGAGCACACAUACCUCAUCCAUCAGGCUAAUGUCUUAGAAGACUCUAUUGAGAGAAUGAAGAGUGUGGCAGCAUUUGCCGUAUCAGCAGUGGCGUCUCAGUGGGAAAGGACGGGAAAACCCUUCAACCCUCUGCUAGGAGAAACAUAUGAGUUAGUCAGGGAAGAUCUUGAUUUCCGGCUGAUAUCGGAACAAGUGAGCCACCAUCCUCCCAUCAGUGCCUUUCACGCUGAGGGUCUCAAGAAGGACUUUGUGUUCCACGGCUCCAUCUAUCCCAAACUGAAGUUCUGGGGCAAGAGUGUGGAAGCCGAACCAAAGGGCAUCAUCACUCUAGAACUUCCUAAGCAUAAUGAGGCCUACACAUGGACAAACCCAACGUGUUGUGUCCACAACAUCAUCGUAGGACAACUGUGGAUCGAACAAUACGGGAAUGUGGAGGUUAUUAAUCAUAGGACUGGCGAAAAAUGCUGCCUGAAUUUCAAACCUUGUGGCCUUUUUGGGAAAGAAUUGCAUAAGGUUGAAGGCUACAUCCUGGAUAAAAGCAAAAAGAAAGUAUGUGUUCUUUACGGGAAAUGGACAGAGUGCAUGUACACAGUAGACCCAGUGACGUUCGAAGCUCACAAAAAGAAAGAUAAAAAAGCGUUAGAAGAGAAGAAAAGCAGUAAACAGGCAUCUGUUGCAGAAUCAGAGGAAACACCUCAACUAGGGGGAGAUUCACUGGAGGUCAUACCAGGCAGUCAGCUGUUGUGGAGAAUAGCACCCCGACCAGCUAACUCAGCCCAGAUGUACAGCUUCACUUCAUUCGCAAUGCAACUUAAUGAGCUGGACAACGAGAUUGAAGCAGUGAUCCCUAAAACAGACAGUAGACUGAGGCCGGACAUACGAGCCAUGGAGAACGGAGACAUUGAUCUGGCCAGUGAGGAGAAGAAAAGAUUGGAGGAAAAACAGAGAGCGGCCCGUAAGAACCGUUCCAAGUCAGAUGAAGAAUGGAAGACGAGGUACCAAAAUUUUGCCGAAAGUUUUAUAGCUUUUCACAUAUUUGUUCUGCUGCUCGCUGAUUUACCAUGGUAUGUAUGCCACAAUACCAUAGUUACUAGUUAUUGUUUUACUCUAAAAUCAUAAUAAAUUGAUAUGGGGGAUCUCCUUCAAACUGUGCAAGAAGUUUUCAUUAUCUUUGUCAUUUUAAUUUCUUAUUUUAAAAGUAUAAUGGAGUAAUGAUUAAAAUAUAUUUUGGUGGAAACUAUGGUUACCAUGGUACAAAUGGCUUUCACACCUAUAUUUGCAGUUGGAUUUAUUUGAGAUCUGCUUCUCUCCUGAGCCUGGCCUGGGAGAUCUUAACAGGCCCAUUUUUAUGUCCAUUUUUUAUUUUUGUAGUAUUGGGUUUUGCUUGUGACUAACUGCAUAACAUAUUAUUCAUACUAAAUUUGUCAGCAUUGGUGGAUUUUAAUAUGUAUGAAAUUGUAAUGUGUGCAUUAAUUAAGCUUUGUAUCCACCUUGUAUAAGAAUGUUUGAUAGAUUGAACUGUUCUUCAUCCAUAGCUUUUAACAGUGUCUACUAUCUCAUGAUGUGCUGUGCUUACAUAUGUAAAUAACUGAUGUUUAUUAGCACUCUUGACUGGCUCUUAUAGUCCUGGUUCACUGAACACUGCACUCUGCAUUUAACCCCAUUUUCCCUUUCAUUUCUUUUGGCAUUAUAAUCUGUCCUGUGCUGCUGUGAGCAGAAACGUCGCCUCUGGCCCCAGGUUUGACACUUGCUUUGUUGUAUUGUUUUUUGCUCAGCUGUACAGUAAUUGCUUAACAUGGUAAUUUAAUUGCUUAGAGCAACUGGCAUCUGUGUAACCACAGUCUGUAAUUAACCUAAUUGACCUAAUCAAAACCCAUCAGACAGAUAUUAUUGAAGCUUUAUACCUUUGAAGCUUGUAGGGAUAAAGAGAGUAAAGCCCCAAAACCUAAAAUUAUUCAUUGAUUGUUAAUACUACUAUUACACAAAAUUAUACAGUAGAUCUGUGUAGAUCUCAGUUAAAUAUCAAAAUAUUCAGUCUGUUGUAAACUUUUAAUUGUAAAUCCCCCUCAAACCAAUGGAAUGCUAGCUCUCCGAUUGCAGUAUUCACACUUUUCUAUUUAAUUGGUUAUCAGUUCAUUAAAAUUUCUAUCAAUAGAAAGAUCUAUCAAUAAAUGCUGUCUGGUGGGUCUCUAAAGCCUGACUAAGCCAUUACAACAGGAAACAAUGUUAUAUCAUAUUGAAUAAAUAUAUGUUUUGCAAUAUUAACUUUCCACUUAAUUGGUUAUCGGUUCAUUAUCGGAUCUACCGAUAAAUGCCGUCUGGCGAGUCUCUAAAUAAUAAAGCCUAAAGAGAAGCCAUUGCAUCAGAAAACAACAGUGGUUUCAUCAAGGUCCAAAUCCACACAACGGUUCUCAGGACUGGCUGUUGGCUAGUAGCAACUGCUACUGGGACCGUGAUUAUUCCCAAGUACCGGACAUAUACUGACCCACAAGAACCUUGCACUAUCGUUGAUAA